rnacentral:rRNA from 1 species
GAUGAACGCUGACAGAAUGCUUAACACAUGCAAGUCUACUUGAACUUCGGUUUGGGUGGCGGACGGGUGAGUAACGCGUAAAGAACUUGCCUCACAGAUAGGGACAACAUUUGGAAACGAAUGCUAAUACCUGAUAUUAUGAUUUUAGGGCAUCCUAGAAUUAUGAAAGCUAUAUGCACUGUGAGAGAGCUUUGCGUCCCAUUAGCUAGUUGGAGAGGUAACGGCUCACCAAGGCGAUGAUGGGUAGCCGGCCUGAGAGGGUAAUCGGCCACAAGGGGACUGAGACACGGCCCUUACUCCCACGGGAGGCAGCAGUGGGGAAUAUUGGACAAUGGACCAAGAGUCUGAUCCAGCAAUUCUAUGUGCACGAUGAAGUUUUUCGGAAUGUAAAGUGCUUUCAGUUGGGAAGAAAAAAAUGACGGUACCAACAGAAGAAGUGACGGCUAAAUACGUGCCAGCAGCCGCGGUAAUACGUAUGUCACAAGCGUUAUCCGGAUUUAUUGGGCGUAAAGCGCGUCUAGGUGGUUAUGUAAGUCUGAUGUGAAAAUGCAGGGCUCAACUCUGUAUUGCGUUGGAAACUGUGUAACUAGAGUACUGGAGAGGUAAGCGGAACUACAAGUGUAGAGGUGAAAUUUGUAGAUAUUUGUAGGAAUGCCGAUGGGGAAGCCAGCUUACUGGACAGAUACUGACGCUGAAGCGCGAAAGCGUGGGUAGCAAACAGG